AAGACUUAGAGAUUCCGUGAGCCAUAGGAGGGAAUGUGUGGGCUGAAGGCAGCAGUAGGGCGAUGGAAAUCCUGGCCAAUGGCUUCUAGAACUUGAAGCUCACCAUUUUUGGAUGGCAUUCUGGGAACAAAGUGUUCUCUAUGAGAUACUAAGAGCAAUAUAGGGUAAUCACUGGUGACAGAAACAUCUUCUCAUGCAGGUUCAUGUCAAAGUCCAGUGUUGAAAGAGAAACCCUCAUCCCAGAUGCUUUUCCUUGGAAUCCAGCUGCCAUGUUGUGAGAAAGCCCAGACCACACGCAGAGACCACAUGUGGGUGUUCCAGCCAACAGCCCCAGCUAGGUCCCCAUGGAGAGCCCACACCAACCACCAGAUAUGAGGGUUCAGACUCCAGCCCGCAGUCUUCAAGUCUUCCAACUGCAGUCCCAGACAUCAUGAAACCAUUCUGCUGUCACCUGUCAGAAUUUCUGACCCCAGAAACUGUUGGAGACAAUAAAUAAUUACUGUUGUUUUAAUCCACUAAA